AUAAUAUUCCCUCCGUCCGGAAUUACUUGUCGCAGAAAUAGAUGUAUCUAGACGUAUUUUUAGUUCUAGAUACAUCCAUUUCUAUCCAUUUAUGCGACAGGCAAUUCGAGACGGAGGGAGUAUAGA
rfam:Triticum aestivum genome assembly, contig: Triticum_aestivum_CS42_TGACv1_scaffold_061273_1DL